rnacentral:lncRNA from 1 species
UGUUGUUGUUGUUUUUGAGAUGGAGCCCCUCACUCUGUCACCCAGGCUAGAGUGCAAUGGCGUGGUCUUGGCUCACUGCCUCCUGGGUUCAAGCGAUUCUCCUCCCUCAGCCUCCUGAGUAGCUGGGACUACAGGCACGUGCCACCACACCUGGCUAAUUUUUGUAUUUUUGGUAGAGACGGGGUUUCACUAUGUUGGCCAGGCUGAUCUCCAACUCUUGACCUAGUGAUCCACCCUCCUCGGCCUCUCAAAGUGCUGGGAUUACAGGCAUGAGCCACCACGACUGGCAAUUUUUUCAUUUUUUUGUAGAGACGGGAUCUCACUAUGUUGCCCAGGCUGAUCUCAAACUCCUGGCCUCAAGUGAUCCUCCUACCUUAGCCUCCCAAAGUGCUGGAAUCACAGGUAUAAGCCACUGCACCCACCCAUUCAAUCCUUAUAACAAGGCUGUGACACAGCCAUUUUUUCAGAUGAGGAAAGGGAGGUGCAGGGAAGUGAGAUAAUUUGUCCAAGGUCAUUCGACUUACAAGUGGCAGAGCUGGACUUGAACCUAGGCAGUCUUCAUUCAGAGUCCAGGUACCUAACCACUAUCCUGUGGCUGUGAGUGAUAUAUCUCUGCCCAAAGGGUCUUGUGUCAUUACAUCCUAGGCUCUGACCAAAGCUUUGGUGUUUGAGCAGUACCCUCAUCCUUUCACUCAAAUUGCAGACAUGCAGGGGCCCCUGCCAUGCUCCAGCCCCUAGGCUGGACUCUGCAGACAGUGAAAUAGCUACAAAAUAGUACCGGGUCAUAGAUGCACCAGUGUCUCACAUGACAAGUGUAGGGCUCCUGUUGACUGCUCUCAGAGACCUGGACAAGUGGUCUGUGAGGCUAGAGGAGGACAUGACUAAUUCUGCUUUAGCCAGGAGGUCACUUGAAAUUCAGAGGAGCUUUCAGGCUUCCCCAUUCUGUGACAACUGACGCACCUUUGAGAGAUGAGUAAGAGGUUGUCAGCCAGAGAAGACGAAACAGUGCUGUCCCCAUUUGACAAAGACAGAAACUCAGCUCCAAGGCACACCACUUAAGUGUGCCUCGAGUGACACCGUGACGACCUCUCCGUGUUUACUUCCAGUUCAUUGUGGGUGGCCAAAUGGCCCUCAACUCUUCGAUCAAGACCCUGAAUGAACGGCAUGAAAUGAUGCUUAAGAGCAUUAAGUCGGAGAGCUCUGAACCCAAUCCACACUCAGCACUUUUUAAACUGAGUGACCUGAAGCAAGCCACGUAGUCUCUCUGAGCCUGUUUCUUCAUCAGUAAAAUAGGGAUAGGGAUGCUGACCCCACAGUCAUUGGGGGGAUUAAAUCAAAUAAAGUACUUAGCACAGUUCCAGAGAAAUAGAAAGCACUCAGUAUGUGGUAAAUACACAUUUACCACAAAUACACAAAAACCCAUUAGUUUCCAAAAUAGGUUGCAAGCCAGGCAUGGUGGCUAUAGUCACAGCUCUUCAGGAGGCUGAAGAGGGAGUUUGAGCCCAGAAGUUUGAGUCCAGCCUAGGCAACAUGGCAAGACAUCAUCUCAAACAAAAUUUUUUAAAAAAAGGAAAGAAAAAAAAUGGGUUGCAAUGUAACCUAGGCUUCUAAAACAGUCCAGCAACUCUGACUCUUGAUGAGAAAGUGAGCUUACCUGUUGGAUGUAAAGAGCAGUAAG